rnacentral:tRNA from 6 species
GCCGAGGGGACGAAAGGCAAGUCGCAUCGCUCUGAACGAUGAGGUUGCAGGUUCAAAGCCUACCCAGGCA